CAGCCGCCGCGGUAAUACGUAGGUGGCAAGCGUUAUCCGGAAUUACUGGGCGUAAAGCGCGCGUAGGCGGUUUUUUAAGUCUGAUGUGAAAGCCCACGGCCCAACCGUGGAGGGUCAUUGGAAACUGGAAAACUUGAGUGCAGAAGAGGAAAGUGGAAUUCCAUGUGUAGCGGUGAAAUGCGCAGAGAUAUGGAGGAACACCAGUGGCGAAGGCGACUUUCUGGUCUGUAACUGACGCUGAUGUGCGAAAGCGUGGGGAUCAAACAGGAUUAGAGACCCCCGUAGUCCCUGUCUCUUAUAC
rnacentral:rRNA from 1 species